UCACAGCCCUGAGUUACAGAGCCCAUUCCUCUCAGCUCUUCCGGCGGGAUUUUGGGACAAACAAGACUCACCUGGCUUUCCCUACCUGGCCCGCGGGAAAAUCAGACAAAGAACUUUACAUUUGAAAUCCCUCUGGUUCCCGGAUGCAAGACUGGGAAACGCGCCUCGUGGACCCAGGAAGAGAAGUCCCUCGAAAAGGAAGUGGCUGAAGUUCAUGGUGGGAGAGAUGGAAGGAACUGGUAGAAACGAGAAAUUAAAAACCCAAGAGGGAAUGAACUACGAAUCGAUUUCAUUUUUUACUAGGAUGCCAGAGGGCAUGGUGCUUCCUUCAUGGCGUGCGAACCCCACCAGUUUACCCGAAAAUGGACCUGCCACCCUCCUAGAAAAAAAUGGGAGGGUAGAUGAUCAGAAGCACGGAUGGAAGGGCCAGACUUUGAAAGGAAGGACCCAUCCCUCUACUGCUGAGGCAGAGGAAAGGGAGACUGGGCCAAAGGAAACAUGCCUAAGGAGUGGACCCCAAGCAGCCUGCAUUGGGACUGCCAAGAGGAUGGAGCACCUGCCUGGGUUUAAGAAUUCAGCAGGCUUUAUCCUGAAAAAAGAGCAUGCAAGAAAUAAAGGUCAAGUAUUUAGACUAGGCUGUUCCACAUCUCCAUGGAAUGAAGAAAUGUGUGAACACUCCUGGAAUUUCAAUUGGUUCUCCUUUUACAAGGAUUUUUAUACUAAUCAAGAUGGAACCAGCACAUAACUACCUUAUAUAAAGAAUUUCACAUUAAGAAAAUACAGUAUCCCCCAAUCUAUUAUAUCAGAUAAAUGCUAAUUUUUAUCACAUCAUCUUAUUUCAACUUUGUUAUAAAGGCUUGAUUCAUGCAAAAGUGGAGAGUCAUCAUUUUUGUUCUUAAACCCAAUUAAAUGUCACUUCCCGAUUCAUCCUCCUGCUGCUCCAGAUACUUCUAACACAUUUCAGACCUGAAAUUUUCUAAGCUACUUCUUCUUUUCCAAGUGAUUUUAAGAACCUGGCAUUAAAACAUAAUUACAUGGCGGAAAAAUACUUUUGAAGCUGCUCAGUGUGACUUUUUUUAAUAGUGAGUUUUCUGACUUGCAUGCCUCAGAGGAUGAUUUUCUGAGCUGUGUGUAACUUGACAGUGUCUCUGUGGGCCCAUUAGCCACCUUACAAAAUUGCAUGAACUCUUUCUAGAUCCCUGGGGUAGCUAAAACUUAGCAAUAAAUGAAUGGAUUAUGCUUCAUACAGUCAUA
rnacentral:lncRNA from 1 species